UCAAAAAGUCAGGCAAAGGCUAAAGAUG
rnacentral:piRNA from 1 species